GGCGGUAUGCUUAACACAUGCAAGUCGAACGGAAACGAAACUAGCUUGCUAGUAGGCGUCGAGUGGCGGACGGGUGAGUAACGCGUAGGAAUCUGCCUGAUAGUGGGGGAUAGCCCGAAGAAAUUCGGAUUAAUACCGCAUAAUCUAUUCGUAGUAAAGUGGGGGACUUUCGAGCCUCACGCUAUCAGAUGAGCCUGCGUAAGAUUAGCUUGUUGGUAGGGUAAAAGCCUACCAAGGCAACGAUCUUUAGCUGGUCUGAGAGGAUGAUCAGCCACAUCGGGACUGAGACACGGCCCGAACUCCUACGGGAGGCAGCAGUGGGGAAUAUUGGACAAUGGGGGCAACCCUGAUCCAGCAAUACCGCGUGUGUGAAGAAGGCCUGAGGGUUGUAAAGCACUUUCAAUUGUGAAGAAAAGUUAACGGUUAAUAACCGUUGACCUUGACGUUAACUUUAGAAGAAGCACCGGCUAACUCCGUGCCAGCAGCCGCGGUAAUACGGAGGGUGCAAGCGUUAAUCGGAAUUACUGGGCGUAAAGCGUGCGUAGGCGGUUUAUUAAGUCAGAUGUGAAAGCCCCGGGCUUAACCUGGGAACUGCAUUUGAAACUGGUCAACUAGAGUAUGGUAGAGGAAAGUGGAAUUUCUGGUGUAGCGGUGAAAUGCGUAGAUAUCAGAAGGAACAUCAAUGGCGAAGGCAGCUUUCUGGACCAAUACUGACGCUGAGGUACGAAAGCGUGGGUAGCAAACAGGAUUAGAUACCCUGGUAGUCCACGCCGUAAACGAUGAUAACUAGCCGUUGGGGGGAUUUACCCCUUAGUGGCGAAGCUAACGCGUUAAGUUAUCCGCCUGGGGAGUACGGCCGCAAGCUAAACCUCAAAAAUGAAUGACG
rnacentral:rRNA from 1 species